rnacentral:rRNA from 1 species
AUGUCUGUCGAGCAGGUGGAGGGCGUCCACGACCCCGAGGCCGAGGGCUUGCUCGCCUACGAGGGGUACCCCGCCCCGCGUCUGGGCCCGGCCCGCGAUGGGCUCUACCCGGGCACGCCCUUCACGCACAUUCUCGGCGACCUCGCCGCCGAGGGCGUCGGGGUCGACCCUGAGAUCACCCCGGCCCACCUCUUCUUCGUCGUCACAAGCGAUGGCGUGUUCGAGUUCCUCUCCAGCCAAGAAGUCGUCAACAUGCAUAAAUAG